rnacentral:rRNA from 1 species
UGUCACGUAGAAACACCGGUCCUCGUACGAUUACAGAAGUUAAGCAACGCCGAGCCUGGUCAGUAUCUAGAUGGGUGACGGCUUGGGAAUAUCAGGUGCAGUAA